AGUGAACGCUGGCGGCGUGCUUAACGCAUGCAAGUCGAACGAGAACGGAUUAUAGCUUGCUAUAAUUGUCAGCUAAGUGGCGCACGGGUGAGUAAUGUAUAGGUAAUAUGCCUCUUACUAAGGGAUAACAAAUGGAAACGUUUGCUAAUACCUUAUACUCCUUAUUAACAUAAGUUAAUAAGGGAAAGAUUUAUCGGUAAGAGAUUAGCCUGUAUUGUAUCAGUUAGUUGGUGGGGUAAUGGCUUACCAAGACUAUGACACAUAACUGGUUUGAGAGGAUGAUCAGUCACACUGGAACUGAGACACGGUCCAGACUCCUACGGGAGGCAGCAGUGGGGAAUAUUGCACAAUGGACGAAAGUCUGAUGCAGCAACGCCGCGUGGAGGAUGACACAUUUCGGUGCGUAAACUCCUUUUAUAUGAGAAGAUAAUGACGGUAUUAUAUGAAUAAGCACCGGCUAACUCCGUGCCAGCCGCCGCGGUAAGAC
rnacentral:rRNA from 1 species